rnacentral:rRNA from 1 species
CUACGGGAGGCAGCAGUCGAGAAUCAUUCGCAAUGGGCGAAAGCCUGACGAUGCGACGCCGCGUGAACGAAGAAGGCCUUCGGGUUGUAAAGUUCUUUCGCUAGGGAACAAGGGAAGAUACCCAAUAAGUAUCUGACUUGAGCGUACCUGGUAAUGAAGCACCGGCUAACUCCGUGCCAGCAGCUGCGGUAAUACGGAGGGUGCAAGCGUUAAUCGGAGUUAUUGGGCGUAAAGGGCGCGUAGGCAGAAUCGUAAGUCAGAUGUGAAAUUUCAGGGCUCAACUCUGAAGCUGCAUUUGAAACUACGGUUCUUGAGGGUAGGCGGAGAAAUCGGAAUUCCACAAGUAGCGGUGAAAUGCGUAGAUAUGUGGAAGAACACCGGUGGCGCAGGCGGAUUUCUAGCUUAUUCCUGACGCUGAGGCGCGAAAGCGAGGGGAGCAAACAGGAUUAGAUACCCGAGUAGUCC